GAUGAACGCUGGCGGCGUGCCUAAUACAUGCAAGUCGAGCGAACAGACGAGGAGCUUGCUCCUCUGACGUUAGCGGCGGACGGGUGAGUAACACGUGGAUAACCUACCUAUAAGACUGGGAUAACUUCGGGAAACCGGAGCUAAUACGGAAUAAUAUAUUGAACAGAAUGGUUCAAUAGUGAAAGACGGUUUUGCUGUCACUUAUAGCGGGAUCCGCGCCGCAUAAGCUAGUUGGUAAGGUAACGCCUUACCAAGGCAACGAUGCGUAGCCGCCCUGAGAGGGUGAUCGGCCACACUGGAACUGAGACACGGUCCAGACUCCUACGGGAGGCAGCAGUAGGGAAUCUUCCGCAAUGGGCGAAAGCCUGACGGAGCAACGCCGCGUGAGUGAUGAAGGUCUUCGGAUCGUAAAACUCUGUUAUUAGGGAAGAACAAAUGUGUAAGUAACUAUGCACGUCUUGACGGUACCUAAUCAGAAAGCCACGGCUAACUACGUG
rnacentral:rRNA from 1 species